rnacentral:lncRNA from 1 species
CACACAUUUUCUGGAUUCUGCCUUAGUGUGUGACUCUGAACUUCAUACAAAGUGUCAGCUCAAGUUCUCCUCACAGCCUGUGAACAGUCCUUGAACAAUCCUUGAACAAUUCUUGGACAAUCCUUGUCCAGCCCCAAAACCAAGGACACCGCUGCAGCUUCAGCCCCAAAAAUUGCAAGUAACAGGGAAUGGAGCAACAAACAACAGAAAAUUGAACAACAGAGAGCAAACUGGGAGGGUGGGACUGUAGAACCUGGAGCUGGAAUUGGACAAUUAACCCCAAUAUGGAAAUGGACCAAAACUUCUAAAAUUGUGACAACUCAUGACUUGGGGUCUAUCUUGGGUGUAGCCUUGGCCAGGCUCUUGUACUACCCAAGGUGUAUCUUUAAAACCCUUUUAAUAAAUCCCUAUUUUAUUCUUUAACUCUGCCCAACCUUCAUUCCAGGGAGCUUCCCAAGCCAUCCCUGUGCCCAUUUUGCAGCCAUGGAAAGGAGAGGAGCAGCCUGACCUACCCAUGGAACACCCAGGUGCCACAUUCAUCCGCCUUGGUGAUGUAGUUCUCAGGCAGCAGCCCCGAGCAGCCAGUGGCCAGGGAAAUGCCAUAAAUCCAGCCCUCGCUCGUGCUGCUCUGCUCCACUGGGGACAUGAAAAUGAAAUCCCCUGGCACCAGCUCCAGAGCUCCAUCAGCAAAGGCUUGGAGGGACGGGCAGGAUGAGGUGUUCAGGAUGGAGUAGGACCUGCCAAAAAUAGAAAAACGUUGUCUUUGGGAAUGGUUUUUGUGCCCUCGGGAUGUUUCUGUAGCCUCCAGGAGCCGGUGGUAAUUAUUGUUGUAACUAUUUUAUUAUUAUUUGGGGUUUAGUGCUGCUCUGAGAGCACCUUGCCAGGUGAUGCACACACAUGAGGAGACAAUUCCAUCUCCAUGGGCUGUUUCCUUAGGAACAACUCACAGAGCAAUUCCCAAACUUUGCCCUGGGAGGUUCUCUCCACCCUGGAAUGUCCUCA